rnacentral:rRNA from 1 species
GAAUAACACGAGGAAACUUGUGCUAAUACCGGAUAAGCCUUCACAGGGAAAGUUUUAACGCCAAAAGAUGAGCCUGCACUUGAUUAGCUAGUUGGUAAGGUAAUGGCUUACCAAGGCUACGAUCAAUAGCUGUUCUUAGAGGAAGAUCAGCCACAUUGGGACUGAGACACGGCCCAAACUCCUACGGUAGGCAGCAGUGGGGAAUCUUGCACAAUGGGGGAAACCCUGAUGCAGCGAUGCCGCGUGAGUGAAGAAGGCCCUUGGGUUGUAAAGCUCUUUCGUCGGGGAAGAAAAUGACUGUACUCGAAUAAGAAGGUCCGGCUAACUUCGUGCCAGCAGCCGCGGUAAUACGAAGGGACCUAGCGUAGUUCGGAAUUACUGGGCUUAAAGAGUUCGUAGGUGGUUAAAAAAGUUGGUGGUGAAAUCCCAGAGCUUAACUCUGGAACUGCCAUCAAAACUUUUUAACUAGAGUAUGAUUGAGGUAAGCGGAAUUUCUAGUGUAGAGGUGAAAUUCGUAGAUAUUAGAAAGAACACCAAUUGCGAAGGCAGCUUUCUGGAUCAUUACUGACACUGAGGUGCGAAAGCAUGGGUAGCGACGAGGAUUAGAUACCCUCGUAGUCCCAUGCCGUAAACGAUGUGUGCUAGACGUUGGAAACUUAGUUUUCAGUGUCGCAGCAAAAGCGUUAAGCACACCGCCUGGGGAGUACGACCGCAAGGUUAAAACUCAAAUGAAUUGACGGGGGCCCGCACAAGCGGUGGAGCAUGUGGUUUAAUUCGAAGAUACGCGCAGAACCUUACCAACACUUGACAUGUUCGUCGCGACUCUAAGAGAUUAGAGUUUUCGGUUCGGCCGGACGAAACACAGGUGCUGCAUGGCUGUCGUCAGCUCGUGUCGUGAGAUGUUGGGUUAAGUCCCGCAACGAGCGCAACC